rnacentral:tRNA from 2 species
GGGCCUAUGGCGCAGCUGGGAGCGCGCUUGAAUGGCAUUCAAGAGGUCGGGGGUUCGAAUCCCCCUAGGUCCACCA